rnacentral:lncRNA from 1 species
ACGAACCACUGUGGUGUCGGAGCCAGGAGGGCCGGAAGAAGAGAUUCGAUACCCUCCUGGCUCAGCUGCGGUGGGGAAGGAUGGCCUGAUCCUGGCAGAUCGACCCAGGUAAACCCAAGCCCCCUCGGAGGGGCGCCCUCAGCCCCGGCCGCAGUUCCACCAUUUCUCAAGGGCGGGGGAAAUCUCCGUUUCCCACGGGUCCGCCUCAGAGCCAGGCUGGAGGUCAGGCAGCAGGAGAGAGAAGUCCCUUUCCCACCCACCCAGCCACCCUUUAUUUUAUUUUUAUUUAUUUUUUUAAACUCCGGGACUCCUGAGGUCCCCGACAAGAGGCGCUCCAGCCGUGCGGGGAAACGUCGCUCCUGCGCUCCCGCAGCCUUUCCUGGUUUUGGUCGCUCAACGCGUUCCUCCUUGCCACUCCAGCGUCCAUCAUCCUCCCCCUCCCGGCCAGCAUUGCGAAACGGGGAGCACGUCAAGCCGCCCGGCGGCCCGCUCGCCUCCUCCAGCCAGCCUUUCCGUCGGAGGGUUGCGCGCCUCCGCCGACGGGCGCGCGCCUCGCUCAGGGCCGGCUCGUCCUCGCCGGUGCCCCUCCCCUCCCUUCUCCCUCCCUCCUCCCCCGGGGGGGCCAUGAGCUCAUCGCGUGGGGCGGGGCCACCGGGGCUCAUAAAAUCCUCCGCCCGGCCUCGGGCUUCCCCAAGCGGGCCAGCGUUAGCCAGCGAGCCCAGGGAGACGCCCGAGAGGAGCUGGAAGCCGCGCCUCGGGGGACCAAGCACAGCCGCCCCGCCGCCGCCGCCGCCGCCGCCGCCCCGGACCCAGCCGGAUCGAACCCGCGCCGCGGCCAUGAGCUCCAUCCUGGACGUCAAUACCCUCUAUCAGGUGAGUGGCGCUCAGGACCACGGAAAGCGCCCCCGCGGCCCGAAGCCGGAGCUGGGCCGAGGAGUUGUGUCCCAGCCGCGGGCUUGGCUCCCCGCCUGCCCCCGCCCUCCCUUCUUUCGGAGGUGGGAAAGGGCUUCCGUGUGA